CAGUAUGUACAGAAAAUAUAUACCUUAAGGGCUGCAGCGCGCAAAAAUCGAAAUUGCUUGGAAAUAGUAGCGCAUAAAUCUAAUUUCAACCCUAAGAUGUGCAUAUAUUAUGUAUAGUUAUAUAGUGUAAUUUUCAAAUUAUAAACGAUUUAGUGACUGCUCCAAGAAGGAAAUGCUUUAAGGAACGCAAAAAUGGAACUUAUAUGAUUUUCCAAAUCGGUUAUUAACAAGGAGAGGGAGGGGAAGGGGGCUAAGUGACAGCCUAAGACAGGCUAAGAUUCUAAACAACUGCUUUAAAAAUGUAUUCAUCGGGCACACUACUUUCAUCAAAAUCUUUUUAAAUGCCAGUGAACUUCAUUAUCAAAUUGAGAAAGAAGAAAAUACUGUACAUACUAUCUCUUUUCAAUAGCUACUUUUAAUAGCAUAAUUCUACAGUUGUCGACUAUUUUUAACCAAACUGCAUGGAUGCCUCAAGGAUACGACUCCUUUAAAACUCCUCCUUACAAUUCUACCAACAAAGCAAGCCAAACGAUAUAAAGGAGCUAUUAAUAUUAUGAAUCUUCGAAGUAGCAUACAGUAGAAUUUUCUUCAUCAGUUUUC